GACGAACGCUGGCGGCGUGCCUAAUACAUGCAAGUCGAACGCACUCUCGUUUAGAUUGAAGGAGCUUGCUCCUGAUUGAUAAACAUUUGAGUGAGUGGCGGACGGGUGAGUAACACGUGGGUAACCUGCCCUAAAGUGGGGGAUAACAUUUGGAAACAGAUGCUAAUACCGCAUAAAACCUAAACACCGCAUGGUGUAGGGUUGAAAGAUGGUUUCGGCUAUCACUUUAGGAUGGACCCGCGGUGCAUUAGUUAGUUGGUGAGGUAAAGGCUCACCAAGACCGUGAUGCAUAGCCGACCUGAGAGGGUAAUCGGCCACACUGGGACUGAGACACGGCCCGGACUCCUACGGGAGGCAGCAGUAGGGAAUCUUCCACAAUGGACGAAAGUCUGAUGGAGCAACGCCGCGUGAGUGAAGAAGGUUUCGGAUCGUAAAACUCUGUUGUUGGAGAAGAAUGUAUCUGAUAGUAACUGAUCAGGUAGUGACGGUAUCC
rnacentral:rRNA from 1 species